rnacentral:rRNA from 1 species
UCGGGAAUUUUGGGCAAUGGGCGAAAGCCUGACCCAGCAACGCCGCGUGAAGGAUGAAGUAUUUCGGUAUGUAAACUUCGAAAGAAUAGGAGGAAUAAAUGACGGUACUAUUUAUAAGGUCCGGCUAACUACGUGCCAGCAGCCGCGGUAAUACGUAGGGACCAAGCGUUGUUCGGAUUUACUGGGCGUAAAGGGCGCGUAGGCGGCAAUUCAAGUCAUCUGUGAAAUCUCCGGGCUUAACUCGGAACGGUCAGAUGAUACUGCUUUGCUAGAGUGCAGAAGGGGCAAUCGGAAUUCUUGGUGUAGCGGUGAAAUGCGUAGAUAUCAAGAGGAACACCUGAGGUGAAGACGGGUUGCUGGGCUGACACUGACGCUGAGGCGCGAAAGCCAGGGGAGCAAACGGGAUUAGAUACCCAAGUAGUCCCUGAGCGGGCUGGCAAGGCGCAU